AAAUAAGAAGCAAUUUGCAUUUAAUUUCGACUUAAAAGAUAGGGAUAUUUCCCCUUAUUUA
rnacentral:tRNA from 2 species